UGUAAGCGUAUACCAAAGUUGUUGCAGUUAGAACGCUCGUAGUCGGAAUUUGGCAGUUCCGGAUGUGUGCACGUCGUGUGCGCACUUCGCGGGGAUUGCUUUUGUGGUCUUGCGUAGGAUGAGGCACUUUUAUUAGUGAACGUCCUCACGCAACCACUUUUUACUGUGAGAAAAUCAGAGUGCUCAAAGCAGGCAUUUGCCGUGAAUGUAUUAGCAUGGAAUAAUAGAAUAGGACUCGGUUCUAUUUUGUUGGUUUGUUGGGACUGAGUAAUGAUUAAGAGGGACAGUUGGGGGCAUUUGUAUUUCGGCGCUAGAGGUGAAAUUCUUAGAUUGCCGAAAGACAAACUGCUGCGAAAGCGUCUGCCAAGGAUGUUUUCAUUGA
rnacentral:rRNA from 1 species